rnacentral:rRNA from 1 species
UCGCACGAGAAAGCCGGGGCAACCUGGCAAGUAAAGUGGCGUACGGGUGAGUAACACGUGGGUAAUCUACCUCUUAGUGGGGAAUAACCCUGGGAAACCGGGGCUAAUACCGCAUAAGCUCGAGAGAGGAAAGCAGCAAUGCGCUGAGAGAGGAGCCCGCGGCCGAUUAGCUGGUUGGUGAGGUAAGAGCUCACCAAGGCAAAGAUCGGUAGCCGGCCCGAGAGGGCACACGGCCACACUGGCACUGAAACACGGGCCAGACUCCUACGGGAGGCAGCAGUGGGGAAUCUUGCACAAUGGGGGAAACCCUGAUGCAGCGACGCCGCGUGAGCGAUGAAGCCCUUCGGGGUGUAAAGCUCUUUCGGCAGGGACGAUAAUGACGGUACCUGCAGAAGCAGCUGCGGCUAACUACGUGCCAGCAGCCGCGGUAAUACGUAGGCAGCGAGCGUUGUUCGGAGUUACUGGGCGUAAAGGGUGUGUAGGCGGUCCUUUAAGUUUGGUGUGAAAUCUCCCGGCUUAACUGGGAGGGUGCGCCGAAUACUGAGGGGCUAGAGUGCGGGAGAGGAUAGUGGAAUUCCUGGUGUAGCGGUGAAAUGCGUAGAUAUCAGGAGGAACACCGGUGGUGUAGACGGCUAUCUGGACCGUGACUGACGCUGAGACACGAAAGCGUGGGUAGCAAACAGGAUUAGAUACCCUGGUAGUCCACGCCCUAAACGAUGCAUAUUUGGUGUGGGUGAUUCAGUUCAUCCGUACCGGAGCUAACGCGUUAAAUAUGCCGCCUG